CAUAACUCAUGUCCUCUUUCUCUCAAAAAUGCUGCAACAUGUAUAAAUGCAGAAAAAAUGUCUACCAGUAGAUGAAAUUUUGCGGUUUAGCAAAGAUUAUUCUUACCAGCGUUGCUAGAGACCUCCUAUGAAAAAUUACUAAACUCUUCAAGGUUCUACUAGGCUCAAAUAGUGCUUCUCUCAUUACAGCUCUGACAGAAAUUUUAGUAGUUUGAAAUAAAAUAUUUUAAUAGAACACUACCCCUUGGGUAGGCUUCCUCUCCCAUACAUCAUAAAACAUGUUCCUGGAAUUGGUCUAUUAGAUUCUUAAAUGUUUGUGUAGAUUAAACUACCAGGUCUAAGUUUGAUGACGCUGUUCCAGUUUAACCUGUGAUAGCUGAGGUGUGGGUAUGGCGCUGCUUCUUAAGCCAAAACCAUGCAGUGGUUUUUGCUGUGGGGCUUUGUGGAUGUCUAGGAGUAUGGAGACUGUCACUGCCAGCUUCACAAAGUCACCCUGUGCUCUCCAUGAAGAGAAAAUUUAGCCCAUUGAAGAGACUUUACAUCAUGAGACACUCCAUUGUCCUGGCUGGCAGAAGCAGAAUGGUGUGUUAGUAAUGUCUAACUGCUGCAACAGUUUGCUGCAAUGCUUAUGAGUGAGAGCUCUAUAUAAUUUGCCAUGCACUCUUUAAUACUCAGGUGGAAUGUAAUGUAUGUGUGAGAUUGUUAUCAAAAUCAAAACAUUGUGUUCGUGCCCACCUGAUUUUUUUUUUUAGGCUUUUUAGAAGCCUUUAUCAGUCUGAAAGCCUCUGUCUCAAACAGAGAUGUAUCUAGCCUCAUGGUUUUCAAUUAUUUUCCUAAAAUAGAAAAUAAUCAGAAUUAUUUUUUUAAUAAAAGACUGUUAGUAGGGUUAUAGCCUUUGUUUUAAUGCUUUUUGUAACUAAAGAAGCAGAAUUGGAUACUACUUUUGAACAGUGUUAAAAUAAUCUGUUUCUGAUAAGAAGAUACUCAGAGGAGUUAGAAGCCUGUUGCACAGAACUUAUCAAUGGUUUUCAAAUAUUUCUGUUACCAACUGUCACUAAACAAAAAUUUUUUUACAACUUUCACUUCUAGAGCAUAUAAAAAACAGAUGCCAUUUUGAAUUUCUGAAAAUUUACAACUUACUGAAAAUAUUGGGAACUUUUCUGCAAAAUUAAUGAGGACUUUUUCCAUUAUAAGAUUUAUAUAGAAUGAUGCGCUCAGAGCAAUAACAAAAUAGAGCAAAACAACUGUCAGGUUAAUCCCUGCAGCAGAGAGUGGGAAUCUGGCAAAAAGUUGUCAUCACUUGUUACCUAUCUAGUUAUAGAGGUGUUAUAAAGUGUCUUAAAUGACCUAAGAGUACUUGAAGAAUGAUAAUAUUAAACAAUAAGGAGAAAGAUUCAACUAAAUCUUAACAUACUAGUAUCUGGAAGAAAGUAGAUAUAUUUAGUACCUCAGAGUUAAUUUGUUCAGGAUAAAAUAUGAAAGUAUCAAGGAAAAUAAGACAUUAUGCAACUCUGGAUUUGUAUUGGAGAGGUGUUUGUCUAAUAGGGAUUUAACUCUAGUGCACUUGCUAAUUUAAUCAAAUGUAAAGGGAUGCAUUUUAAUGGGUCAUCUCUGAUUAGAAGCUUUGAAAAGCAGAAUGCUUCCAUUCCAGGGAGGCCAAUAAGCUAGGUAAACAUACAGGCUUUAGUUACAAAGGUCUUGAUGUUAAUAUUCUGGGUGAUUAAACUAGGAUGAUACAUUGUUGUUAUUAUUGUAUUGUCCGUAGUGCUUAUAAUUUUGUCCAUUGUUUCUUCUAUUAUAGUAUUUACUUCUUAUUUAGCAGGGCAAAUUGAUUUUUCUAAGUGUGCCAGGGGUACAAUCCUCUGCUUCACUAUUGCCUUCAUGCGUUCUAAUAUGUGCUAACAAUAACAUGAAGGAAAAUGGCUGUGUACCUCGUGCCCCUGAUUGCUCUCUGCCUUUUCACCAGGCCCAGCAUUGUGAGCAACUUUUCAAGCAAGGCAGGUUGUCAGUGUGGUAUGCCUGGGUAUAAGUCUAUGUUGGCAUUUAGGUUCACAAGUGUUAGUAUGUGUGCUAUACAGACUGGUAAGAAGCACAAAUGCAUAGUUGUAGUAAACUUUCUCAUGAGUCUUUCAAAAAACACAGAGAACCUGAAUUCUGCUGGUGAACUACUAAACCUCUUCUAAGACUGGAUGCAUUAGAUGCGUUAAGAAUAAUUAACAAGGAAGUAAACAAAUUUUUGAGUGGAUAGAUGCAAGCAGAUUUGAGAAGAGUAGUAAGACAACCAUCCCCCCACUGACCAAUAAAGUGACAUUUAAAAGUUAACUGGAAACCAUUACUGGAGUGCUGUGUAAGGAAACCCCAGGGACAAAGAAAAAAAUAUAAUCAGUUACCAAAAAUAAGCUAUUAUGUACCUAGAUGUAAGGGAUAUAAUGACAAAAUAACCCCAAGCUAGCAACAGUUUAGUUGGAGAUGCAGUUGUGUAAUGACUGAAAUAGGUAUGGAACACAUGGAAAUCUCUUGCAAAGUAAUCAUUGUUCUGCACCACUGUAAACAAGCCAUCUGUAUUUUUGUCAAUAGAAAAUUAUUAGGGGUGUUAUUUUUAAUUAAUUAAUUGGAAUUUAUUACCAUGGAUUGUCUUUUUUGUGAAAGAGGUGGUAAUGGUUCUUGCGACAGGAAAAUCGUUUUAAAGUAAUAAUGAGAGUUAUGUCUCUUCUCUCUUUCAGCAAUUCUUCCCACAUCACCCCCACUACAGUCAGCCGUUGCCAUACCUGUUCUGGAGGACUUGCAAGAGAUUAAGCUUACUACUCCUGCCAUGGUGUAGGAGAACCAGGAGAAGAAAAAAAACUCGCUGGAAUGCACGGUCUGCCUAGAAGAAAAAUGGCUUUUUUCUUACAUAGGAGAGGAGCUGAAGAAACACAGGAGAAGCACAUCUGCCCAACUGUGCCCUGCUUUUCUACUGCUCCUCCUCCUGCUUACAAGCACUUGUAAACCUGGAUGCCUCUUUGGAAGAUGCAGCUGAAAAUUGUUGGCUGUCCUAAUUGAGGGGGUCUCCUCCAGCACUGACUUCAGAAACCCGAUCAGUACUAAGACAGCAGAAGCAAAAAAAAAAGAUAAAAGACACAACUCCAGGUUUAGUAGCAACUGAAACUUUUUCUGUUGAAGAAUUCCAGGAAAAGAAUCAUGCCUGAAAAUGACCAUUUCAUUAUUUGUGAAGUAAAGCAGCUGAGAAAUGCUUUGAGAAAGGAUAUCCCAAGGUUAAAAUGAAGGAAAUGGUUCUUCACCUGCUCUUGCAACUUACGUCUCUUCCAUGAUUAAACUUGCAAUAUCUGCUCUCUGCCUCUCUGUGGCUGCUUCCAUCUGUGUAAUUGGGCUGGGGUCACUACUCUAAAAUCUGCAGCUGUCCUCAACCUUUCCUUUGCAUAUUCAUUUGUCAGACCAACAGUUUUCCACCAGAAGGGUCUUGUGGCAGUAGGAGAGUCGCUGCGAGAGUAUUUGACCACCUGCCCUAAAUCAGCCAUUUCUUAUUUUAGCUAGGGAAAGUCAACUAACUGGUAAUUCUCCCCUCUGUUAAUCAGUGAUCAAUGCCUCAGCACAUUUCCCAAAACACUGUUUUUCAUCUAACAUGGUAAGCAUCUAAAUUUAGCUCCUGGUCUGAGCAGUACUUGAGAAAAUAGCUCUGUCACAGAAGUCUACUCUGAAGACUGAAGUGCCCAAGUUCCCACAGUGCAGUAAUCCUCAUGCCUAUUAACCUCUACUUCAGCCUGCUCUUGGAGACACAGUCCAGGACCAUGCAACUUACAGAAAUGUCUGCCAUGUUUCCCAGAUGAAGAAGUGUUCAUGAGGAAACGUCCCAUUGUCUUGCCCUUGUGGGGAUAAAGUCAAUGACUAAUGUGCAUAGCAGGGUCUUAGAGGUUUCUGGAACUCAUAGAAUAACAAAGAACAAUAAGUGUGUACAAAACAAUUUGAAGUGAAAAAAAAUGAAUUUUCUUUCAUCCUUCAGAAGCAGUUGACUUUUAAGUCUGCUACACUUACAGCCACAUAGUUUCUUUAGAACUAUGGGGUGAAAAUUCAGGUACGUUCAACUAAGAGACUAUUAACGAUUUUGUGUGUCACAUUUGAAUUAAUGGCUGAGAUGUCAUUCUCAGAGAAGUGCUCAGUAUGGAAAUGUGAUUUCUGGGAAUGCAAAUAGCUCACACAGGUUUUUUGGCAACGAUAAACAAAUGGAUGUUUGCACAGGUGUAAUUAAGCACAGAAGAGGCAAACCUCUGCACAGAACUGAUUUACAGUCAAAUUCAUCAGCCUUGAAAAUCCAGAUUAUAUUGCAUGUUUCUGUGUUAUCAAACUGGUGUUUCAAUUUAUUGAAUUACCAGAUCUUCUGAAUGAUGUAAAUUAGAUGACAACUUUGGAAAUAAGGUGAAAUUGGUUUAAACUCUGACAAUGUCAGUGGAGGGGACAGGGGGUGGGCAGGACAAUGUGUGAGUAGAGCCUUAUUGCAAGGACAUGAAGUCCAUCUUCCCAAACACAAACAUAAAGCACUGCAAGCCAUGGAAAUAAUUUAAUAGAAGGUAGUAUCUACCUUCAUGGCAGUGUGUCUUUUCCAAACAGUGCACCAAUAGACAAAGAAUAUUUUUACUUUGAAGAAUUUGCUCUUGCAAUAGAGAACUAAAAACAAAACACCAUUUUGUACAUAGGUAAAAUGUUUGGGGAUGUUAUGUAGAAUGUGGGACUCAUCAUAAAAGUUUCAACAAACCUAACUCUGAUAUUGCUAAUGCAAAACUUCAAUCCCUAAAAUCAGAGUCAUUGUUCAAACAAGAUUUCCUGCAACUCUAAAAGGCUUACUAAAUCUCAUAACAGAAACAGAUUAUUCCAGUUCUUCAUUCCUCCCUUACAUCAAUCAGCGCAAUCUGAAUUCAAGAAAUUUCUGGAAAUUUAGAAAGUUGUGAAAUAAUUUAAAUGUUACUUGAUAAAUUUUCUGUUUUCCUUAUGAUUGCUACAUACUCAAAAUUGUGACAACCAGCAGAUGUCUCUGCAGCCACUGAUCAGUGCUGCACACAUGAGGAAAAGAGGAAGAAUUUAAUGAGUGAGCGCUCACUUUAAGAUUGACUUCCAGAAAUGUCAAACCUACACAGCAAAUUCCAGAAGAGCAAAGAGUGACAGCAUGAUAGCAGCACUCCCUAAGAAGGAAUCAGCAUCUUACUUGGUUUUACAAAUAACAACAUGAGUACCUUAGAACUGUCUGUUUACAGAGUGGUUUAUCAAGAAUAAAAAGUUUCUAAAUUUGGUGUCUUUGCUUCAAAAAGGCCUUGUUCUCAAAAAGGGCAAGCUUGCCAUCCCUGGAGCUAAGCUGUACCUGUUGUCCUUGUCCUCCCACAGGAGAAAAUGACUGCCACAAAUAUCCCUUGCUCUACUCCAACUCAGGGCAUGCAGUUCCAGGGUUUCCUUUGUUAAUGUAUAAACAGAAACAUGUGAAAAAAAAUAGUAUUUACCCUACCAAAACAAGACACCCUGCUGUACAUCAAAUUCCCUCUGUGGGAGAGGAUAAGCUGGAAAAUGAGGCAGAUGAUAGUUAUGAGUCACAGUAUUUAAUGUGCUGUGGUAAGGCACUUGAAUGUUAUGACUGUGAGAGCAAUAGAAGAAGCUAUUUGAUAACAAAGCACAUAUUUUCUACCACUGUGAAUGAUUUGUAAGCCCACUGAGCUGCUGACUUGCAGCCUAGUGUCUCCUGGUGGAGUCAUCUUUAUUGAACCCUGCUGGUACUAAAGAUUUCUGGACAGGUAGAUUUGUGUAGCAUUUCUAUCUUGUACAGAGGCAGUCCCUCUUGCCACAAAGUCACAGUUACCUUUUGGCUUGAGACAACUGAGGAAAACCUCAGGGCGCACAGCAGAAAGAUGGAAGUUUUCUAAGCCACUUUUUUUCUUCCUGAACUCUGAGUGGCCCAGAAUUAAGUGUAACUUGCCACUGACUUCAGUAGACCCUGCUUGCAGACCACUGUAAAAUGAGCACCUCUUACCUCCUCACAGGCGGCGUGAAAAAAAUGCUGAAGAUGUAGAGAGGCUCUUUGGUGUGAAUGCAAUUGUUGCAUGUCUGUCAGGCUGCAUCAGUGCUGUGGGUGUCAGGGAGCACAGACUAGGGCUGCAUGCUGAGAAAGGAGCCCUUCCUCUGGAUGCUGUGUCCCCUGUGGACAAGGUACAGUCCUUGCUUUAGCAGCACUCUCUGGCAGUAACAUCUGCAUACAUACACAUACCACUUUAUGGAAAAUACUAACACUCUCUUUAUUCAGUUGUCAGAUUACAAUAUAUGUGUAGGGCACAGUUUAUCUUCUCCAGAUCUUCUAAUUAUUGAAAUUCAAGAACCCCAUUUCUUUCAGGUAAUGAAAUAGAAAAAUCCUACUGGCAUUAUGGUUCUUGGAUGAAGACCUAUAACAAAUGUGAUUCUUCUCCUUUCCCUUCCAAGUAAGGUGGUGGGCCAUUCAGUUUGCAGAAGAAGAAAGACCAGAUGGUGGUAAAUGUCUUUACUAUAUGACAUAUGUUUGUAUGAAAGAUUUUUAUUUUUCUUAUUCUUUGAUUUUCGUGAAUUACAUUUUAUUCCCCUCUGUUUUAAAGAAAUUGAGUAGCAAGAUUUGUAUUUAAUAAAAAGCCUGUAGUUCAUGCAUGUGAUUCACUAUUUAACCACUAUUUAAUAAAAAGCCUGUAGUUCAUGCAUGUGAUUCAUGAUGUAUGAUGUUGCCACAGGAAAAGUAGCUAGCGUUGUUACAGACUGUCAUCUUAAUUAUGAAAAUUUUUUAUUUAAAUAUAGAGCUGAGCAUACAAAAUACAGCACAAGGCCAUCUGUUAGUUUUCCAUCUGGACUCAUUUGCAAAAUACUCUCUGUUUCCCUCCUGAACACUACUUUUAAUCUUCCUUGGGAAAAUGUAUGACUAAUCUAUGGCACACAAGAGAUAGCUAUUUGAAUGCCAAUUUUAAUAGAAGUGGCUAUGUAGUUCAAAGUAGUAGCAAAAUAUAUUUAUUUUGUUUUGCAUGCAGGUGUAAAACUCACAUGAUUUCUAGACACACAAACAAAUUUUUUCCUAUCC